rnacentral:piRNA from 1 species
GAGAAUAUUUAUAUGCAAAUAAGAGGUGU